rnacentral:rRNA from 1 species
GCGUGUNGACGGUUUGUACAUUCAGAUGUGAAAUCCCCGGGCUUAACCUGGGAGCUGCAUUUGAUAUGUGCUUACUAGAGUGUGAGAGAGGGUUGUGGAAUUCCCAGUGUAGAGGUGAAAUUGGUAGAUAUUGGGAAGAACACCGGUGGCGAAGGGGGCAACUUGGCUCAUUACUGACGUUGAGGCGCGAAAGCGUGGGGAGCAAACAGGAUUAAUUACCCUGGUAGUCCACGCUGUAAACGAUGUGUGCUAGAUGUUGGGUGAUUUAGUCAUUCAGUGUCGCAGUUAACGCGNNAGCACACCGC